AGUGACUUUAUAUAUUUCUCCUUAUGCAUAAAAUUAUUUUCAUUCUUGCUGCCAGAACUGGGAAUGGACUGACACUUGUCUCUCCUUUAAUCCUGGAAGCUGAUGUUACUUGGCCCUAUCUUUGGCAAAGCUGUUUUAUUUACUUCAGAAGUACUAUAGUAAAGUAGCAAGUGAUUCCAUGGUGGUAUAUGUUCCAGUGGGGGAAGUGUUGUCUCUGUUCAGUGUUGUUCCUUUGUGAAGAUACAGCAAAUACACAUUAUAUGUGGUCAUGGAAGGCUCCAGAGUUGUCCUCAGAAAGCUGUGGUAGUUAAAGCUCUUGAUUGCUGUUCCAGUGUUUUCUCUCCAAAGCUUCUGCUGGUUACAUAUUCCUACUGAUAGCUGAAACUGCAUUUAUUAAAAUAUAUGUUAUUUUAAAAUACCCUAGUGCACAUAUACAUGUAAUAAAUACAUGUAUAUUUUACUAGUGUAUUUUAAAGUAUUUUUAUUUUACCAGUAAAAAAUACACUAGUGCACAUGUAUUAUCAGUAAAAAAUCCUAUCUAUACUGCCUGGUUCAGGUCCUGUCUAAAUUACAGCUACUGUUGUUAAUGGGGUCUUACACAUAUGUAAAUACAUGAGCUGGGCACUAUAUUGCAUGCUAGAUUGCAGGUCUGUACAAUGAUAAGCCUUUAUAGUCCUUGUUUGUUAGCAUCUUAAUUGUGAAAAUACACUUUUUUUAUUGGAAUUUGUGAAGAAAAAGAAGUUUUGCCUAUGGUUUCCACGUCAUGUUGCUUCUUGGACUGUUCUUGUCCUAAAGGUCUCUUAACAGUUUCUCUGCUCUGCUUGUUGAAUGUAUUUAUCACUCACUGGACCUGAGUUUUUAAAGGCAUGUAUUCUUGAAGCAAGGAAAAUAAUGAAAUUAAAUUAUUUACACAUGAA